rnacentral:rRNA from 1 species
UGAGGAAUAUUGGUCAAUGGGCGGAAGCCUGAACCAGCCAAGUAGCGUGCAGGACGACGGCCCUAUGGGUUGUAAACUGCUUUUGCGCGGGGAUAAAGUGCGGCACGCGUGUCGCAUUGCAGGUACCGCGCGAAUAAGGACCGGCUAAUUCCGUGCCAGCAGCCGCGGUAAUACGGAAGGUCCGGGCGUUAUCCGGAUUCAUUGGGUUUAAAGGGAGCGCAGGCCGCCCCUUAAGCGUGUUGUGAAAUGCCGCGGCUCAACCGUGGCACUGCAGCGCGAACUGGGGGGCUUGAGUGCGCGCAGCGCAGGCGGAACUCGUGGUGUAGCGGUGAAAUGCUUAGAUAUCACGAAGAACUCCGAUCGCGAAUGCAGCCUGCGGGG